ensembl:misc_RNA Metazoa_SRP Metazoan signal recognition particle RNA
GCCGGGCGUGGUGGUGGGCGCCUGUAGUCCCAGUUACUCAGGAGGCCGAGGCAGGAGAAUCGCUUGAACCCAGGAGGCGGAGGUUGCAGUGAGCGAGAUUGCACCACUGCACUUCAGCCUGGGUGACAGAGCAAGACUCUGUCUCAA